rnacentral:rRNA from 1 species
CCUACGGGUGGCAGCAGGGAGGAAUAGUGGUCAAUGGGCGAGAGCCUGAACCAGCCAAGUCGCGUGAGGGAAGACGGUCCUAUGGAGUGUAAACCUCGUUUGCCGGGGAGCAAAAAGCGGUACGUGUACCGCAUCGAGAGUACCCGGAGAAAAAGCAUCGGCUAACUCCGUGCCAGCAGCCGCGGUAAUACGGAGGAUGUGAGCGUUAUCCGGAUUUAGUGGGUUUAAAGGGUGCGCAGGCGGAAGCGGCAAGUCAGCGGUAAAAUUGCGGGGCUCAACCUCGCCGCGCCGGUGAAACUGCUCUUCUUGAGUGUGCGUGACGUAUGCGGAAUGCGUGGUGUCGCGGU